GACAGCUAAUCCAGGAGGGAGGCUGGAGAGAGAUGAAGACGUUGAGUCUAGAUAUGAAUUAGUUCAGUCCCAUGGAGUCCUUGAGCCAGGCUGAGGGAAGACAGCGCGAGUUCAGGUCUACGACUUCAACCUGAGACCAAAAGGAGAACUACGUAUGGAAAAUGCUCAGAACAGCACCUCCGGACACAGAGCACGAAGUCCCGGAUUCCUAUCCUGUAAAACCUUAGCUCUGGAGUGUUAGAAGGUCUGUGCAUUUGAUCCCAUGACCUUCUGUACCUAAAGCUCCGUCUUAGGUUCUAGUCCGUAAGGAAGCACUUUAAUCAGGAAGCAAGUGCUUCCGGGUCACCACCAUCCCUAAGGGGUCACUAUGACAACUUCUGGCCAAUCCUCGUUCUGCAUCUCUCCGGCCUCCAGGGACCUGGUGCCAGAUUAGUCAAAAGACCCAAAGAUCCUUGAAGCUUUAGGGUAAAGAGGCUCUCUCGUCAGGAAAGACUUCUCAAGCCAGGAAUGUACAGCUCUUCGCUAGCCUAGCUGUGGGUAAGAAGCAGGUACAUUGAGGUUGGAGAGAGGGCUGAGUCAGGUAUUUAGUGGACUUGCGUUUGGUUCCUAACAACCAGUGGCAGUUUAAACCAUCUAUAAAUAAACUCCAGUUCCCAGGACCUGUAGCUCUCUGCUGGCCUCUGUGGGCACCAGGCACAAGUAUGGGGUGCAGCUGAAACAUACAUAUAAAAUUAAAAUAA
rnacentral:lncRNA from 1 species